UCAACUGUCAAUAUAUGUAAGAGUCUAUUUCUUCCCUGGGCCUCUCAUAGUGUUCCAUGCCAUAGCAAGCUGUGGCCCCGAACCAUUGCCUGGCUCUAUCAGUGGGCUUUGUGCACUGAAGCGGGUCACACAGUG